UGAUCCCAGGAGCAACAGCAACAGGAAGUCACGUGUUUGGACAAUAUCCACCCCAUCCUUCCCCGCCAAACCAGUGAACCGAAAGGGUGGAGCCCAGCUCGACUUUCUGUCACAAAGUUCACUUUCCAGAGCUGAUCCCCAACAGCCAGAGUGCACAUGUCUCAUCACACGCCUGCCAACUUCUUUUGCUAAAUGAGAAAACAACAUGUACAAGAAAAUACAUCUUCUUCAGUGUAACUCACUUGGAAUUCUGGUGACUUGGGCUCGCAAAAGCUGCUGAUCAAGGACUGAAGCAGCUGAGGCCACAGAGGGAGACUCGCACUCGCCUGGGAAGGCGAAGCAGUCACGCCAUCACCUGUGAGCAUGCGCGAGCCAGUGCGAGCCUGAGGAAAUGAGUCAGAAGAAAACAAGGCCCUCAAAGUGAUAACGAGAGUGCUGAUUGUUCUAAAUUAUGGGACAAAAAGAGGUUCCCUCCAUUCCCACCCCUGCAUCAUACCAUUGAACCCCUAUGUAAUCUUAUAUAACGCAGUAAAAUGUGUUCAUUUGUGUGUGGCUCCUUA
rnacentral:lncRNA from 1 species